CGGGAGCUGGGCCAGAGGUGUCUGGCAUCUCCAGUGGCUGCCUCCUGAGUGAGCUCUGGGGUUGAGCUUAUACUUGCUGUCCGGCCUCUGACCCUGUGGGGGCAAGCUUGGAGUGCUCUGGCUCUGCCCACUCUGGUGUCUGGCGGAGCUCGUCCCUCUCUGGGGCACCGGGGAACCACACCGCCUCCCUACAGGGCGGCUACUUUAUUAAAAGGAUUUGCUUUUGCACAGGGUUUAUGAUGCUGACAGUCUCUGAGAUAAUGUGAAUUGGCAUCAAUCCUCCAAUAACACAGGCUGUUUCCUCUCCAGAUAAGCCCUAUGGGGAUCCUGAAAGUUGUGACAACGUGAAAUGUUGACUGGGGAAAGCAACCAUUUUGUGUGUGGAAACACGAGGUUUGGCUGACCAAGUCUUACCGCAACUGAGGUGAGGACUCACAUAGGGUUGCUCAUUGUGUUUCUAAAGGCAGACACUGGCAUCUGGGAGAGAGGAGGAUGCACCAAUGAGGAGGGAGGAUGUCAUAUCUCAUAUUGACAUGUUUGAACCUUUCCAUGAACUCAAGGUUUGAGGAGUCCAGACUAUCCCUCCUGUUCCAUUUCAAACACCUGCUGAUGAUGACCAUAUUUCAGCACUGAAAACUGGCAAUUGUCUCUUAAUGGAGUCCCAAUUUUUCUAAUUCUGCAUGUUUUAAAUAGUCUCUUGUCUGACGGGUUACAAGGAUAUUAAAAAAAACCUUGUAACUUUAAAAUAUACAGUUGUGGGGAGCGGGGGGGAAACAGAUCUCCACUUAGCCUUCUUCCAACAAGCUCAGGUCUCCAAGCAAAGGUCAGUGAGGAAUAACUUCAUCAGUAGGGUGGAUGGGGUGGGCCACUAGAGUUGGCUGUUCAGACAGGAGUUUAUUUUGAUAUUUACAGAUUAACUUAAUACUCAAACUGCUUUGGUACAGUAUAAUGUUCAAUAUUUAAUCAAAAUGAUUAAAGGUCUAGAAAACAUGACUUAUGGGGGAAGAAUGAAAGUAAUGGGUGUGUUUAGUCUAGAGAAGACUGAGAGGGGACAUAACAGUUUUCAAGUACAUAAAAGAUUGAUAUAAGGAGGAG